UACGUAGGGUGCAAGCAUUAUCCGGAGUGACUGGGCGUAAAGAGUUGCGUAGGUGGUUUGUUAAGUAGAUAGUGAAAUCUGGGGGCUCAACCUCACAGGCUAUUAUCUAAACUGGCAAACUCGAGAAUGGUAGAGGUAACUGGAAUUUCUUGUGUAGGAGUGAAAUCCGUAGAUAUAAGAAGGAACACCAAUGGCGUAGGCAGGUUACUGGACCAUUUCUGACACUGAGGCACGAAAGCGUGGGGAGCGAACGGG
rnacentral:rRNA from 1 species